AUGCUGCUCACUAGGGUAAACAGGACUGCCGUGCGUUUUGUAUGCUUUCCUGCCCUGAGACAGACGCAGGGACUCUCUCUCGAAUUUAUUGUACUCUCAUCUGAGAUUCGUGGAAGUAAACAUGCGCCUCUUCUUAGUGUCACAAGCGUGGGGAGCACGCAAAAUCUGAACAGUGCCAGGAGGUAAUCCAUCUAGAAGAAUGUCGUACGAGGAACACGGCAUGGUACUUCAUUGGCUCAACAUUUAAUUUUUGUAUAAAGUUGGGCAAAACGUUCUGUGCUCCUGCCAAUGUACACGGUUUCGAAACUUGUGAGGAAUGUCAGAAGGCCUGCGGAAUUUCCGUUUGUGCCGAAAAAGUACCAAAGCCCUGGUGGAAAGAGUUCCUCGGAUUAGAUGAAGAGGAAAGACCGCUGAUAGAAGACGUUUAAAAUCUCUGUACUGAUGCAAGUCACAGAUUACACUCAGCCACGACGUGUGUUACACCACUUGUCAAGACUUCUGAAGACCAACACGGACCUUCCGCCAGAAAGACGCACGUCACUGCAGAACGAUGCCAGCGAAGCAAGAUAGCAGUGAUCGUCGCCGCCGGAUUAGACGGGUUGUGACGUCGACCGACCCGACUUCGCCAACACACCUGCACCCCUUCCGGAACGCCUCCGCUCACACUUUCUCCGAUUUCCUUUCCUAUUGAGCCUUUCAACUUCCUUUUCAAUGUUCUAGCAUGUGUUUAUAAUAAACAGUCUUGAAAUGG